UAACAUGAUGGGCCAUGUCUGUUUUGGAGU
rnacentral:piRNA from 1 species